rnacentral:rRNA from 1 species
GGAGGGUGCAAGCGUUAUCCGGAUUCACUGGGUUUAAAGGGUGUGUAGGCGGGCUGUUAAGUCAGUGGUGAAAUCUCCGGGCUCAACCCGGAAACUGCCAUUGAUACUAUCAGUCUUGAAUUCUGUUGAGGUAGGCGGAAUAUAUCAUGUAGCGGUGAAAUGCUUAGAUAUGAUAUAGAACACCGAUUGCGAAGGCAGCUUACUAAGCAGAUAUUGACGCUGAGGCACGAAAGCGUGGGGAUCAAACAGGAUUAGAUACCCUGGUAGUCCACGCCCUAAACGAUGAUUACUCGACAUACGCGAUACACAGUGUGUGUCUGAGCGAAAGCAUUAAGUAAUCCACCUGGGAAGUACGUCCGCAAGGAUGAA